ACUUCUUCCUGACCUCUUCUGCCAAUAAACUGCGCCUGGAGAACUGGACAAGUGCAAGAUAGAAGGAAGAUGAACACCAGCUAUCUAUUUCACUUAGUCUUCACCUAACACUGAAGAAUAAAGGCAUAUCUGUACCACAUCCAGUAUCAAUCUUCAAGCCAAAGACUCCUCUCCAGUUUUUAAUAUUUGGAAUAAUUUUUAUGUUUGGCAGCAGCAGAUGGAUCCUAAAUACCCGCAAAGUCGUUAGUUUAAUAACACAAUUGGUAAGUACAGUCAUUUUCAGUGAAGGGCAACUGUUACAAUU
rnacentral:lncRNA from 1 species